UACAGAGGUGGCGAGCGUUGUUCGGAUUUACUGGGCGUAAAGGGCGCGUAGGCGGCCCCGUGUGUCGCGUGUGAAAUCCCCGGGCUCAACCCGGGAAGUGCGCGCGAAACUGCGGGGCUCGAGCGGAGGAGGGGAGAGCGGAAUUCAUGCUGUAGCGGUGAAAUGCGUUGAUAUCAUGAGGAACACCGGUGGCGAAGGCGGCUCUCUGGAAUCCUGCUGACGCUGAGGCGCGAAAGCCGGGGGAGCAAACAGGAUUAGAUACCCU
rnacentral:rRNA from 1 species